CUGAAAAUAGUUCAAGAAAUAGGUAUUUAAUAUGAAUUGCAUAUUUGGGGGGGGGUCGAAGAAACCCCUUAUGCUAUUGUUAAAAUACCUUAUCUUGCUUGUCAUAAACAUAAUUAGUUACUUAAAUCUCCAAUUAACAGAUUCAUCCUAGUCAUAAUUCUGAUUUGUCAGCUGAACUUAGACCUUAUUUAAUGGUAAUGCUCUGUAAAAUCUGACAUGCCAGGAAUAUAUAGCAUACUUCAGAAGGGCGUGAUGAUAAUCAGAUUUGUCUAGACAUGUAAAACACAUUUUUGAUGCUGCGAAUUCCUCCAAUUAAUUUUAUGAGGUCUUGAGACUCAUAAUUUAGCUCAGAUGAAGUGUGAGAAUUAGUGAUUGUAAUAGUCAUGAAGUUUUUUAGCAGGAAAGCCACUGCCAUCUUAAAAUAAUAACAUUUGUACAUUAUUUCCAGUGUUUAAUGGAUUCAGUGAGCUUUUUACCAAUGCAGGUACUUGCCUGUCUGAGGAGGAAUAAAUGCAGACAUGAGCUACUAUAAUGUAUCAACUCGUUACUUAAUGGCAUACUUCCUGCCAUCCUCUCCCUGUACCCGUGGAACUAUGACCUUUUUCAGUUCAUUAGCUUCUCUUGUUUUGAUGCAGGGCAUGUAGGCUGCAGUAGGAACCAGUGCAAAACUGCAGUUACUUCAAAGGGGCUGAGGAGCAGUGCAGCAGGCCUAGUAAUCUAGCGCUUUUCAUUGCAGGUCUGUUCAGUAGGAAAAUAACAUUGUCAGGAACAGUAUCUGAAAGCUGGUGGUGGAUUUUAAAGUUGCAGAACAAGAGAUACUGAGUUGUGAUACUCUUCAUUACUUGCUGGAAGCUGGAUCACCUCUGCACUAUAGAAAGAAAUUAAAUUCCUUUUCUUUUAAUUAUACUGUUAUAACCCCCUUACUCCAGUGUUCGUAUAGGAAUAUAUUAGUAAUGGAAAAUACAAUUAUAAAAUCUCUUGAGUUCAUGCACAAAUGAAACUGUCAAGUAAGACAAAGUGUUAAUAAAAUCUUAUAUAACUUAGGGAAUACUACUGUAAUAAUAUUGAAUGAAGAAAAAGCUGUACAUAACUAAAAGUAAUAUAAUAAAAAUAAUGUAACCCAA